rnacentral:misc_RNA from 1 species
GUAGGUGAACCUGCGGAAGGAUCAUUAACACGUGUAUUCCACGUAUUAUUUCCAACACUAAUAAGAUACAACGAACUUUCCCUAGUCGGCCGAUCUCUUAGCUGUCUCCGUAUGGUUGAGGAGAGACGCCCGCCGCCCUCAGGAGGCUCCUGGGGUCCGGCCUGGUGCUACACCAUAUAGAAGCUGUCAUUCCGGUCCAGCUUGCUGGAUUAGAGAGUGUGGCGGUAACUGGUCGACUAGGCUUUGUUAUGCCUCCUGUAUAGUUCUCAACCUCCGUCGGAUAUACAGGGGGACACCAUAUUUUUAACCAUAUUUUGACUAUUUGGCUAAUGUUGGGUCGGGGAGUCUUGAAGCUUGCUUCUUUACUUCUGCCGGAUCCUACUAAGAUUUAUCUUAACUAAGUACAACUCUUAGCAAUGGAUAUCUUGGUUCUC